AAAUAGACAUGGCUGGAUACGUUAUUGAUAGCAAUUCAGAUGAUAAAUUUAUCUAAAUCUAGCUGUCCAACAAUUUUGAAUGAUUCUUAUCAUGGGAUGCACCAAAAUGCCAUGAAGAGAACUCUUCUACUUUUUCAAAAUAUAUUCUAGAGCAGACUAUUGAAUUAAUAUAAUUAUAGAUAGAUUAUAAUAAUAGGACUAGUCACUAGAUUAUGUCUAUGAUUAUCACUAGCACUAGAUCUACUACUCAGAUCUAGACUCUAGAGUGACUCUAGACCUAGUCUACUCUAGUAGUAGUCUCUAGUAUCAUCAAGUACUAGUAGAUCAUCUAGGACUAGGUCUAGAAAACAUAUAUGACAUGUGGCAUACAGACAAGUUUACUAGAUGGAUCUUUCAUCAUUUUGGAAAUACAAUAUUCCCUGUGAAACAAAUCACAGAAACAUUCUACAAUUUUAUUUUAUAUAAUAAAUACCAAUAAAUGUAAAUACAAAAUCACA